rnacentral:rRNA from 1 species
AUUGAACGCUGGCGGCAUGCCUUACACAUGCAAGUCGAACGGCAGCACGGGUGCUUGCACCUGGUGCCGUGUGGCGAACGGGUGAGUAAUACAUCGGAACGUACCUUAUCGUCGGGGAUACCGCACCGAAAGCUCUGCUAAUACCGCCUACGCCCUGAGGGGGAAAGCGGGGGCUCGCUAGCCUUCGCGCGAUUAGAGCGGCCGAUGCCUGAUUAGCUUGUUGGUGGGGUAAAAGCCCACCAAGGCGACGACCAGUAGCUGGGCUGAGAGGACGAUCAGCCACACUGGGACUGAGACACGGCCCAGACUCCUACGGGAGGCAGCAGUGGGGAAUUUUGGACAAUGGGGGCAACCCUGAUCCAGCAAUGCCGCGUGAGUGAAGAAGGCCUUCGGGUUGUAAAGCUCGUUUGUCAGGGAAGAAACACCGGCUCUAACACAGUCCGGGAAUGACGGUACCUGAAGAAUAAGCACCGGCUAACUACGUGCCAGCCGCCGCGGUAA